rnacentral:miRNA from 14 species
AAUACAAGACGCCCAGUCAAAUUUGGAUUUCGGAUAAACAAGGAGGAAUGUUUUAGUGUAAGUAUGACCCUUGCAAUAUUUGGGACAUACUUAGGCUAAAAAGUAUUUGUUGUUCAUCUGAAAUUCAAAUUUAAAUGAUCAUCCUGUAUGU